GCGGUCGUGGCGGAAUUGGUAGACGCGCAGCACUAAGGAUGCUGUGGAGCAAUCCUUGGGGGUUCGAUUCCCCCCGACCGCACCA
rnacentral:tRNA from 1 species